CUACUAUAAUAAAGUUGGAAGGUUUCCAAUUCUCUCAAUUUUUUGCCUCUUUUUGACCUCUCGUCUGGUGACACGUACAUACCAUGGUGCUAGGUGUUUUGAGCAGAUUGGUUGAGCCUUUUGACUUCUUCUGUUUGACUUCUUCCUCAAUCUUUUAUUUUUCUUACUUGUUUGGGCAACCGGUUGCCUAUGCUUCUUUAUUUCUUGAUCUGACCGGACGGGCUGUCACCCUUGUGCUGCAUCCGGUCACGGUUGGCUCCCUCUUGUUUCCUUUCUUAUUUUGCUUCUCUUUGUAGCCGGUGAUGAGUUAGCCUUCCGGUGACCCUUUAUUUUUUGUUUUGUUCUUAUCCUUAUUUGAUAACUUGGCCUCUAAGUUUGCAUAUUAUAGUAGAUCUUUGUUGCUCUUAUCCAUUUAUGUGAACUUGGCCUCCACGUCUCAUCUUACCUCUAGGAAGCUUGGCCACCACGGUUUCUGUGCUUGUCUAUAUAUAUGUUUGUCGACUGAGUUUCUUGUCUUUCAAGAUGUUUUACCAGUUUUCUUCUUUGAUUAUUGCAGAUGAUUACGUUGGAUCCCACCAUUUGGACAUUGGUCUUGCUAAACGUUCGUCCAUGGAGGUCGUGUGCGGCUAAGGAUGGCAUCUUGCAUCGAGCUGCUCCGUGAUCUUGAUGAUGACCUCGCAUCCAUCUUCAUAGGAUCGCCUUCUCAUAUGCUAAUGUGCUCCGGAAAUCUUUGCAGGUCGGAUCGAUUUGAUGUCGCUGUCCUGUAGGCCAAUGAAGGCGUCCAUCAUCGGUGCAGGACUCAUUGCUUUGUUCCAAUACAAGUUCAAGCUUAAAGGGGGGCACACCGCACGAGAGAUCAGACAACUGACUUGAUGUGGGGAGACCACUUCUUAGCUUGUAAUUCCCAAAACUAAAUGGCUUUUAUCAAUGAAAUUCAGGUGGGGAUUCUCUCCCACCCCGUGAAAAUUUCAAGAAAAUAAUUAUGUUUUACACGCUCUAAGAAAUUUAUACUUUAGGAGGUUUUCAGCCUGUCCAUAUGAGGUAAAUCAUGCAUCUUUCUUUUUUGCCAAUGGACCAAUAAUUAUAUUUUCCACUACCAUGCAGACCUCUCUUGUAGUGUACGUAUCUAGGUGUACACUAGAACUAGCUACACAGAGAGAUGGCCUAAUGAUCCACAAAGCUUGAGUUUGAGUGUGAUCAGGAUGGUAAAUGCAUCACCCAUAUUGAUAUGGACACACCUAUUGAUUCAAAUGAUCACCUCCAAGGCUAGAAAAAUUCCCAUGGAGAACCUAGGGUUGAAAAAACCAGUUGCAGAGGAGAGUGCGCCUAGGACCACACUCCACUUCCUGACAACGAAUAUCAGUACUGCACAUCGCUCAGAGGUCCACCAGGGUGGCAAUCAAAGAAUCAGAGGAAAACUGCAAACCGUUCCUUCAGAUGAAGCAAAAAUAUAGGAAAAUCAAUGACCUCAUGCAUGCGUUCUACAGAUUACCGAGAGCUUCAGAAGUAUUGCCUCUACGCAUCCACCACCCAAACUCAAUGUACCUAGAACCACAAGACGCCACAAUACAACGAUAUAUAGCUGCCAAGAGGAGAGUGAAUUUUUGUAGCCCGAGCUACAUGUAGCUCCUUUUUUGCCAAAUUGGAAAAUGGGACUUUAAAGUUUCAAAAAAAUCUAACAAAAAAUCUAGAUGUAGACAAUGAUGGUAUCUACCAAUCUGUAAAAUUUGAACUUGAGAUGCUUCAUAUUCUGGGCUACACAAAAAUGACAAAAUCUGACAGAUUUUGGGGAUUUUGAAAUCUGACACUGUUCACUAAUACUGAUAUCAGAAUUUGUCAUUUUUGCACAGCUUCGAAUAUAAGGUAUUUUCAGUCGAAAUUUUCCAUGUUUCCGUGCCAGAAGCUGCUACCAACAAGCCUAGGCUCACCAUUAAUAGCAUAAUAAUUGGCGAAGCAGUGCAGGAAGGAGUGUUAAAUUAAGUGAAAGAUGGCGACCUGAACCAGCGAUCUAGGAGAGCUACUAGCUUUUUUUUAUUGCAGGGGCACCAAAAAUAAGCUCUACGGGAUCUUUAAACAAUUUGUGUUUCUCUUUUAUUGUAUUGAAUAAAUAAAAAUAUGGAAGAGACAUCUUCCAUAUCAAUGGUAGUAUAGGUAGACUAGGAAUAGUAUAUAACUAAGCAAAUAUUGUAAGUAAAUAUAUGACUUGUGUGUAUGUAAA